rnacentral:tRNA from 1 species
GCGGGUAUAGGUUAAUGGUAGACUUGCUGAUUUCCACUCAGUAUGUGUCAGUUCAAUUCUGACUACCCGUA